GACACAAGACUGGAAUGCUCGCCUAUUCAUCCAGGAUUGGAUUCUUGAAUCUCAACAAGGCUUCAAGCAAUCAAAUGUAGCAGACCAAUGCACACACAUGUACAAGAUCUAUAUUGAGGGUUAUGCAUGGUCUGUGAGCAAGAAGUACAUUCUAGCAUGUGAUUCAGUAACAUUGCUGGUAAAACCGAAGUACUAUGAUUUCUUCACAAGAGGUUUGCAACCAGUG